UGUGUGUUUAUGUGUGCGUACACAUGAAAAACAUAACAAAUACAUGAACAAAACAAUGAACAGAGUUGUACUUUGUAGAUGUCAGGGCCCUAUGCAAUAUGUACACAUAUUCUUAAUAUAGUAUACAUUUUAACUGACCUUUAUUUGACUAUGUUUGUCUUUUUGUAGGUGGCUAAAAUACGCAGUGCUGCUGACCGCCAUCUAACGUUAUGUUACUGUGUGUGAUACAUUGGCUAAUGUAACGUUAUGUAUAGGUACCUCAUGCAACCCUGCAAGUAUGAAUAAGGUAGCGAACUGCAGUGGGCGCAACAUAUUGCCGUGUUUGCAAUGACGUUAUAACCAUAGACAUCUUAUAAGUAGACGCAGCAUUGGUUGCUGUGACGCGAUCAAUUUGACCGCCAUCUUGAAGUGGUGAUGAGGAGCCGGCGAGCAGCCUAAACUGACAGUUGACAGGUAGAAAACAAAAAUGCCGGGCUGGUGUUCAGCGUUUUCUUGCUCAAAUGAGCGGACUGUUGAAAAUAGGAAUCGGGGGGAUUACUUUUCACAAGUAAGAUUUAACAUUAACGUACUAUUGGUUGUGUUUUAUGAAAAUUGGUUGUGUUUUAUGAAAAUAAUAUUACCACAGAGUUGAGAAGGAGCAAAGAUCUUCAAUAUUUGUAUGUGAAAAUCACGACCCCCCUACAGGGGUUUGUUUUACAAACUUUCAGCCCCACCUAAAACAAAAUUCACCAGCCGCCACUGAUUAUGAUGCAUUCUCAUUUUAGGCAAAAUAUAAGACAAUACUUUCUUAACAGUAUAAUUGUAACCAGGAAUAAGUCUUCAAGUAACAAUAUUCAAAUACUAACAUUUACAGCAUUUGGUUUUAUUCUGAAUUCAGUGAAACAGAUUGGUGGUUUUAGCUGAUAUAAAGACUUUCAAUACAUGUUUAAGUAUUUGGCAGAGGCUUUUAUCCAAAGCGACAUACAUAAAACAUACAUAUAUAACAAUCACUGUAAACAUGAUCAUUUAAGGGAAGAAUGUAAUACAAAAUAUCAAUACAAAGUGUCAAGAAAGAAUAAAGUUGAUUCUGUCUUGACACUUUGUAUUGAUAGUUUAUUCAAUAAACUCUCUGCUGCAGCAACAGAAUAGCUGAGAGUUUUUCCCCCCCUUACUGGGAUUAUAUUCCCAGUUUUGAUCUCGGACAUCUGGUCACUUAUAGUGUAUAUCAAUAAUAAAACACGCCAAAGCAAUGUGUCCGUUAUCAUAGCUACACGUAUGACAAAAAAAGCCCGUGAAAAUGAGUGGUAUUCAGUGAGGUAAGAUGAAUUAAAUGCGCUGACAGUUCAUUGCUCCUGCCAAAUAUAUUGCACUGAGUGGAGCGGAUCACCACUCCAAGAUGGCGGCCCCGCCAGUAGGCAGUAGCGCUCCAUGCUGCGUACCCUUAUAAGAUGUCUAUGGUUAUAACGUUAGCAGUGAGUUUACAGCCUCACUCAUUUAACUACACAGCAAAUAAAAGUCACGUUACUUAGCCAAUAAACGUUAUCUUACAUUCAAAACUUACCCUUCUUUGUGCAACUUCAAAUGUUGAACGAAGUUGGAAGUUGUUGCGUCUCCGUCUGUAAUAUUCCAACUGCGUGAUUUGCAUACGGCAAUUUGUUUUUUGCGUAAUUUUUAUACCCGAACGAAACCCCUAAAACAAUGUAGAUCUAAUUUGAUUGGCUGUUGUACUGAGAGCACACCAGCUGACAGGAACAACACAGACGAAGACAAUGAAAAAUACGGAGCGCUCCCAAAUAACUUUUUAAGCUUUGGGUUUUGGGGAAAGUAGCAAGUCAUGUCAAGUCAAAAGGCUCAAGUCCAAGUGAAGUCACAAGUCAUUGAUGUUAAAGUCGAAGUCGAGUUGCAAGUCUCUUUACAUUUUGUCAAGUCGAGUCCAAACCCAUUUUUGAUAUGUUCUAAGAACGUUCUAUAUACCAACUAUAAUUUGCCUGCAAUGGAAACAGCAACUGUUAUAAGUGUUUUUUUUGCAAAUGUACUUUUUAUACAGUAUGUUGUAACGUUUCCCUAACUUUCUGCGAAAGUGUUGUGUUUUGUGAACAAUCUGACGCCGGCUGAGUCAAGGCUCCACGCACAGCAGGUGGCAGUAAUGCACACACAAGGUUGCUUGCCAACCGCCAUAAAAAUCAAAAGAAGGAGAAGAAGAAGAAGAAGACUGCACGCAUGCACAAUUGAAGGAGAAGAAGAAGAAGACUGCACGCAUGCACAAUUGAAGGAGAAGAAGAAGACUGCACGCAUGCACAAUUGAAGGAGAAGAAGAAGACUGCAUGCAUGCACAAUUGAAGGAGAAGAAGAAGACUGCACGCAUGCACAAUUGAAGGAGAAGAAGAAGACUGCACGCAUGCACAAUUGAAGGAGAAGAAGACUGCACGCAUGCACAAUUGAAGCUGCUCCGUGAGACAAAGAAGGACGAAGGCUAACUACUUCCACAAUCCCGAUUUUAAAGCAAUUUGGUGCGCCAUCCAUUUAUCACAAACCAUUUUACGGUUUUAGCGUUGUGUAUAAAUGCACGCCAUGCGCCUGAUCUUCUGCUCAGAAAGCAGCUGAAUUUGGCAGACACUGUGAGGACAAUGCUGAGGAAAAUUGCCACAACAGUCCUGGAGCAUUGGCCCAGGAAAAGUGACGUUUGAGGACUUGCUCCUUUACAGAAUAAUAAAUAAGCAUGCAGGGUGUUUACCAGCAGAUGACCACAGCUGAAGUGGAUUGUGAGCUUGGAGACGUCCUGAAACUGGCCACUUUUCCAAAGGGAGGUUCAAAAUUUGAGGAGAAGGAUGAAUUAAGAGGGAGGACAAAAAAGGAAAAAGAAAAUAAAGAUUUGGGUUUCCCUGCUUGGGCUGCUGCCCCCGCGACCCGACCUCGGAUAAGCGGAAGAAGAUGGAUGGAUGUAUUUACUUCCAGGAAGAGAACUGACGCGCACUGCCCAUUUGUAUAGUUAUCACUAAUAAAGAAUUAUUUCUGUUGAAAAAUAAAGAAUUAAUUCUGUUGAAAUGAGCUAUUCCUGACAAUAUAGCAUAAAAACAGAUGUAAAUAGCAUGUUCCUAAACAGUUCCCUGAACGUUCUAGCCAAACGUUCUUGGCUAACGUUCUGCUAACCAAGCAAGAACUCCACAACCAAACGUUCUUUGAGCGUUUUCAUUCUCCUAACGUUCACAUAACGUUCCCUUGUUACCUGGGAAGUCAUCGUCCAAGUCAUGUGACUCGACCACACCUCUGGCAAAUGGCCUCCGGGGCACACUUUUGACACCCCUGCUAUGGA